CCUACGGGGGGCUGCAGUGAGGAAUAUUGGUCAAUGGGCGCGAGCCUGAACCAGCCAAGUCGCGUGAGGGAAGAUGGUCCUAUGGAUUGUAAACCUCUUUUGUCGGGGAGCAAAAGACGCCACGCGUGGCGUUCCGAGAGUACCCGAAGAAAAAGCAUCGGCUAACUCCGUGCCAGCAGCCGCGGUAAUACGGAGGAUGCGAGCGUUAUCCGGAUUUAUUGGGUUUAAAGGGUGCGCAGGCGGAAGAUCAAGUCAGCGGUAAAAUUGAGAGGCUCAACCUCUUCGAGCCGUUGAAACUGGUUUUCUUGAGUGAGUGAGAAGUAUGCGGAAUGUGUGGUGUAGCGGUGAAAGGCAUAGAUAUCACGCAGAACUCCGAUUGCGAAGGCAGCAUGCCGGCGCUCAACUGACGCUCAUGCACGAAAGUGUGGGUAUCGAACAGGAUUAGAUACCCCUGUAGUC
rnacentral:rRNA from 1 species